ACAAGCGUCGCGUGUGAAUUUUGUUCUGUAUUGUUGGGUUCUUGUUUUUAAAAUCGAGAAUUUGUUGAACGAUUUGUAGAAUAAAAUAAGAAAAAAACAUAUAUAUAUAAACCAGAACCGUAAGAAAAAAAAAAGACUGAAUAAUUAUAAUUACACCGCAGUAAUGAUAAUAAAUAAAUUAAGGAUUGAAAUUUAUCCUAAACUGAUACAUGACCAUUGAUAUGAAGAAGGAAUAGAAAUGAGAAGAGAAGAGAAGUUCGCAGAGAAAAUUUUCAGAAUCCUCUGAAUUGUUGAUUUUUUAUUUUUUUUUUAUCAUCCAUAAAUAUUGUAUUUCGCGUGUUCGUUAUUAUAAUAUCGUGGUUUUCAUUCACGAUGCGUGUAAAAUCGGGUGUGGAAAAGAAAAAUGAAAUCUGUUUGAUGAAAAUUUAUCGCUAUAAUAUCGUAUUAUUGUUAUUACUGUUGUUAUUGUUAAUGCCGUAUCCGCGGUCAGGAGGCUAAAUUAUUAUAUAUAUAUAUAUUUUUUAUCGCAUACGCGUAUCAAACCGCUGUAAUUAUGCGAAACCUAACGUACAAUAAUAUACAAUGUUGUGAUGUCGUUAAUGUUAACAUACGUGCAUAUGUGUAUAAUAUAUGUAUAAAAAAAUUAAACUACUCGUCGUCGGUAAAUUGAACAAAGAAGAAAGUGUGUAACUACAAGGUACAAAAGAAAUAAUAAAAAAACAAAACACAAGUCAAAGUAAAACAAAAAAAAAAAAAAAAGUAAAAACAUACGUCAAUCGAGAUAAUAUAUAAAUCAAAGAAGUAAUUAUAAAGAGGGAGAGAGAGAGAGAGAGAGAGAGAAAAAUUCUUAUAAAACUAAAACUUAACAAAGAAACCGUGAGGAAUUCAGCGUUGUUUGAAGAGUUGUAUUCAAAAAAUAAAAAAAAGGCUGUGAAAUUUGGUUACUCUCUGAUAGAAAUAAUAAUAAUAAUAAUAAUAAUAUUAAUAUUAACGAUCUGAGACGGUUCAAAUUCUUGUACAUUUGUUGUCCAAUAAUAAGGAAACCGUUGUGUUACGCUUAAUCGAAAGAUAAGAACUGUGUUAAUUAAACGUGAACAGAAACAGAAACAAAAGGAAAAAAAAAAGAAUAAAUAGACGUGUUAAAAAACGAGAAGAAAGAAAAAAGCAACAUCACUUAUACAAACAUCUGAUGUCAAUUCGUAUUUCUUUUCUUUCGACGAGAGUUCCGUUUUUUUUUUUUUUUUUCUUAUAACGAAGUAAUCGAAGAGUGCGAAGACGAAGAAUCCGUGUGAAAAGCGAGGAAAAGGGAAGAGAAGAAAAAGAAAAAUCGUCGCGUGAAACGGAAAAAUUGUCUCGAAAGUGGGAUGGGAAUUAUAUUGAAUUGACACGCGAAUACGGAGAAGAAGGAAAUAGAAGAACUAUAGUUACAAUAUUGC
rnacentral:lncRNA from 1 species